rnacentral:rRNA from 1 species
GACAGAGGGUGCAAACGUUGUUCGGAAUUACUGGGCGUAAAGCGUGUGUAGGCGGCCAUAUAAGUCGGAUGUGAAAGCCCUGGGCUCAACCCAGGAAGUGCACUCGAUACUGUAUGGCUUGAGUACUGGAGAGGUUGGUGGAAUUCUCGGUGUAGAGGUGAAAUGCGUAGAUAUCCGGAGGAACACCAGUGGCGAAGGCGACUUUCUGGCCUGUUCUUGACGCUGAGGCGCGAAAGCUAGGGGAGCAAACGGG